AACGAACGCUGGCGGCAUGCCUAACACAUGCAAGUCGAACGAGACCUUCGGGUCUAGUGGCGCACGGGUGCGUAACGCGUGGGAACCUGCCCUUAGGUUCGGAAUAACUCCCCGAAAGGGGUGCUAAUACCGGAUAAUGUCUUCGGACCAAAGAUUUAUCGCCUUUGGAUGGGCCCGCGUUGGAUUAGCUAGUUGGUAGGGUAAAAGCCUACCAAGGCGACGAUCCAUAGCUGGUCUGAGAGGAAGGUCAGCCACACUGGGACUGAGACACGGCCCAGACUUCCACGGGAGGCAGGAGGGGGGGAUAUUGGAACAUGGGGCAAAACCUGAUCCAGCCAUGCCGGGUGAGUGAUGAAGGCCUUAGGGUUGGAAAGCUUUUUUACCCGGGAAGAUAAUGACGGUACCGGGAGAAUAAGCUCCGGCUAACUCCGUG
rnacentral:rRNA from 1 species